AGAGAAGGUCGAGCUGAGGGCACAGCUGGCUCUACAAUCAGCUUCUGAUAAACGUCUGACUGAAAAGUAUGUCAAGCCGAGGGUAAAGCUUCUACAAUCAGAUUCUACAGGAGCCAUAAGAAAGAAUCUUUCCAGCCGGGAUGCCACUGAUGAGGCUGUCCAGAACCAGGUCCCCAGGUACCAGAAAGGGG